rnacentral:lncRNA from 1 species
AAAUAUCCUAGUAAGAAACCCCCACAUCCUUCUUUUUAUACUUUUAUCCUUUAGGUGUAUGGGUUUUUCUUGCUUUCAUUUUCUUUUUGAAAUUCCCAGCAGUGUGAACACGCUGAGCCAGCACCUCGACAAGAUCACAGCAGAGCAGAGGGGUCAUGAAUAUAAAGAAGAGAUUGCAACUUCUUCUCCAAAACAUUGUACUUGGACAUUCCUGAUGGCAGGAGACUUGUUGACUUGGCCUACAUCGGUUGGAUACUAUGCCUCGGUAGAAAUGGGUACAGAAAGAAAGGAACCUUGAGGCUUCCCAUGAAGCAAUAAUAAUGAGCUCAGUGGUGAAAACAGAAGCAGAAAAAGUAAGAAUAUGAUAGCAGAGACUAUAUUCUUCAUUGCAUAUAUCCUU